rnacentral:lncRNA from 1 species
UCUUCAAAGCCUUACCCACCUUACAUCUCAGUCAGCUUCCAGGAAUUCUUCUUCAGAAAUAUCCUCAAGAUCUAAAUUAAAGCCCGGAGACUGGGUAUACAGAAAGAGGCACCUAUGAAAGGAUGCACUACAAGUCAGGUGGGAUAGACCUCAUCAGGCGUUGCUGGUAAAUCCAUCUGCAGCAAAAUGAAAAGGAAUUGAAAGCUGGAUACAUUUAUCCCAUCUAAAGAAAGCCCCAACUCCCCAAAAUACAGCUGACCAGAUAAAGAAGAUAAAAGAAGUAUAAACUGCAGCAAAGAAGCGGUCUGGUACCAAAGGAGGAGUCUGCAGGAAGACAGAAGUCUGCAAGAGAGGAGGCUGAAGGCAUUAUCAAGACCUACCAGGUGUAAAAGAUUUAAGACUUUGGGAAAAUGGGGUAGUGUUUUGAUGGUUAGUUUUUGCCAAAGGCAGACUGCCUUCCUUUCUGGCUCAAUUGUCAAUGUCCGGGAGGCAUUGGGGAAUGCCCCCAAAUGUCAAUUGCCUGGGCCUAUAUCCCUAGGCUUUCCCACCAUUAGGGGAUAGAGUCCAAUCCCAUAUAGCAUUACUCAUUUGUCCAUUUGUUUGGUCAGCGAUGUUUGGUCUUGACCAAAAGGGGGGGUGUCAACAUGGAAUCUAGGAAUCCCAAACUUGUGACCUAGUGAGAUCUGAUGAACCCCAAUUUUCAGGACUAGCUUGUAGAUUGGAGACCCCAAAGCUUGUACUUGUUCCCUGUUCCCAUGGGAAUCUACCCUGAAAGGAAUCCCAGGCUAACAGCUUCAGACUGGGUGGGAGACUCUCAAGGAAUGAAGAUCCUGGUUGGGUGAGACUAAGCAAAUGCUAAGGACCCUCUUUGUUUUAGAUAGUCUCCCCUAUUGUAGCAGACCCUAUCCCAAGAAGAUCCACACCUGGGCAGGAACUGUCUUUUAGUAUCUAUUGUAAGUAGUUCUUAUAUCCUAGCCUCUAGCUAUUAUUCCUUUCCCAAGCUUGAUUGUAUCUAGUCAGUGUAGUUUGAACACCUCCAUUUUCUUUGUAGUUAUAGUGAUGUCAAUCAUCUUUCCUUGUCCCUGGACUCCCCAAAUGGUAGAUAGGUUCCCCAAAUUCUUUUGUUCCUUGGAGUCCAUCUUGAGUGGUGGCACUCCCAGGGGUCAGUGACCAGGGCGGCCAGAGUUCAGUCCUCAGACUUUGCAGUUGCAUGUGGUGAGCAGCUCUGUUGUUGAGGCCUAUUAGCGCUGAGGCCUAUUAGUUCUGAAUCCCUUUUGCCCU